GGCGGAUUCGGAGGGACUUGAGGAUCGCGGCGUCUGGCAAGGAUGUUCCGCCGCGAGCGCUCCAUCCCACUUCGUGGCUCUGCCGCCGCCCUGUCUAACAACCUCAGUGUACUGCAGCUUCCAGCCCGUGAUCUCACGCAUUUUGGGGUGGUUCAUGGACCGAGCGCCCAGCUUCUCAGCGCUGCCCCUGAGGGUGUGCCCUUGGCCCAGCGCCAGCUCCACGUUAAAGAGGGCGCUGGAGUGAGUCCCCCACUUAUCACUCAGGUCCACUGGUGUGUCCUCCCCUUCAGAGUACUGCUGGUCCUCACCUCACACCGAGGGAUACAGAUGUACGAGUCUGACGGCUCCGUCAUGGUUUACUGGCAUGCCUUGGACUCAGGAGAUGCUUCUUCAGUACAGGCUAUGUUUGCCCGAGGAAUUGCUGCC
rnacentral:lncRNA from 1 species